ensembl:lncRNA
GUUAGUACCACAUAGUAGGACAGGUCUACAUUGGUCUGGGGUGUCUGGGUCCAAUACCUGGGAAGCUAUUGAGCAAAAAGCAAUUUUCCAUAGGAAAUGAAUGGCCGAAUAUGUCGAAUAUCCAACAUCAUACUAACUUCACCACGGUCCUCAUUCGGUGAUCUUUGUGCACUGUGACAUCCGGUGAAUCACUCAUCACUCUGGCGAACCGAUGAUGGAGGACCGGCAGUUCACUUUCAAGACAUCCCUGGUAAAUGUACCCAAAGUCACGUUUUUUGACGUUCAGACUUACCGAACAACACUCCAUAACAGCCCGCUCCAAACUGGACAAGGGAUAGUUUAUUUUUCGAGUAAUUUAUCGACUACGAAGGGAUGUAGCCUUUUAAAUCAAGUGGUCCCUGGAAGUUGGUCAUCACACAGCAGACGGUCCACAGCUGGUUGACUGUCCCAGACAAGGGUGGUAUAAUCAGCGUUGCCCCACGAUCAGCUAGUGGCUUCUCGAUGGUGAAACCCUUGUCUGCCAUGCAGCCAUCUCCUGGCUCCAGUAAAUCCAG